AUGCUUCAAGGCUUGCCUGGUUGGAAUUUUGUUUGGAUAAAGGCUUGUGGUUACAGGCCUUUAGGCAGGCUGAAGCUCACAGGCUUGAAGUUUGUUUCUGGUAUAUUGUUUACAGGCUUUGUGUUACAGGUUUAUGCAGGUGAAGGCUUGUUUGGUUUUGACAGGCUAAAGGUUCAUCAGUUUGAUAUGCUUCAGGCUGAGUUUUGA